rnacentral:rRNA from 1 species
GAUGAACGCUGGCGGCGUGCCUAAUACAUGCAAGUCGAGCGAACAGAUGAGGAGCUUGCUCCUCUGACGUUAGCGGCGGACGGGUGAGUAACACGUGGAUAACCUACCUAUAAGACUGGGAUAACUUCGGGAAACCGGAGCUAAUACCGGAUAAUAUAUUGAACCGCAUGGUUCAAUAGUGAAAGACGGUUUUGCUGUCACUUAUAGAUGGAUCCGCGCCGCAUUGGCUAGUUGGUAAGGUAACGGCUUACCAAGGCGACGAUGCGUAGCCGACCUGAGAGGGUGAUCGGCCACACUGGAACUGAGACACGGUCCAGACUCCUACGGGAGGCAGCAGUAGGGAAUCUUCCGCAAUGGGCGAAAGCCUGACGGAGCAACGCCGCGUGAGUGAUGAAGGUCUUCGGAUCGUAAAACUCUGUUAUUAGGGAAGAACAAAUGUGUAAGUAACUAUGCACGUCUUGACGGUACCUAAUCAGAAAGCCACGGCUAACUACG